CAGGAUUAAGCAAGCAAGCAUAUAUAGGAAGAUAUGGUAUAAGUGCCAAUGAGACAACUCUCCAUCCAAGUAACAAUUUAUAAAAGUAAACCAUUAUAGGUCAAAAUACGGCCUUAACACGGAGCCUUGGCUCACACGGAACAGCAAGCUAUAAAGGGCCCCAAAAAUUACCAGUGUAAAACUCUAAAGGUUUUCAAAUUUAUCAUGUAAAAAAUAAUAAUCCCAGACUGUCUGUUAAUUGCGAAAAGAUUAGUCCGUCUGUCAACUGAAAAAUGAAAAAAACUAAAACUUUCAGAAUUUAAAAAUAAUAUCGUCAUCUGAUUUCUUUUUAUAUUAAUUCAGAAUCACAGAGACAUUAAACCAGAUUAUGGUAUUAAAAUAAUUGACGAUUACACCAUGAGAGAUCAGCAUAAAAUGGUUCUAACGAAUCCAGUCUAGAAUAACCAUUUAUCGAAAAUCAGGGCCCAGCAGUGACUGACCUCAUGUUCAUUUUAGGUUUUGCGUUAAUGUACAUUUAUACUAGUAACUUGUAUAUUUGGUAUAGCAUUUUUACUUCUCAAUCUGGAUAGCCUUUGGUAGUAUCAUAUUGUUUCAAUAUCUAUUAGUGAGUAACUAUAUAUAGCUAAGUGACAUCAUCGGACCUACAUUUUGCCAUCAAGUUCAAGCCCCAUAUUUAUUCAUGUACCAUAUACCACCUAUCGGAACUAGACAGUGACAUGAUUGCUUUAAUUUAGUACUGUUGUACAAUGACAUUAAUUUUCCAUAUUCAAUCAUGUGUUCCACAUUAAAGCCUACAAUAUUUAGAAGGAACGAACUUUAUAUUUCAGUGUUUGUUUGUCUUGUAUCAUGUGUCGUUCAAAGAAACCAGACCCUAAUCUAAAAUAGAGAGAUAUUUAUAGUCUGGCUUUUUCAUAAUUUAAUGCUAGAUUGUUGAAACCCAGGAGCUUCUGAGCUUCCCAAUGGACCCUCUACCAGGGCAACUGUAAUUACGCCUCCCAUUCAUAAAAUCUUGGCCUGAGACUAUUGAAAAGUUAAGUAACGCCAUAAACGGUAGGAUUUAGAAUUUCUCUUUAUUGGUCUCCUGCUGUUAAGAUAAUGGGAGAAUUUGGCAUAAAGAAUGUCAAACCCUGACACUUUAGCUAUAAAAUAUACAUGCUCCAAGUCAGGAACUGUUACAUUUAUUUGAUGUUUUUUGGCAAAAAAUAAGGUUCCAAAAAUUUUUCAUUCUCCGCCCCUCUUUCAAAUAUACUGGAAACGCCCUUGAUUAAUCAUAAAAAAGCUUCUGCCAAAGAUUCAUAAAAUUCAAUGUAGGUUUGACAAAGCAAUUGUUGUAUUAUAAACUUUUACCCCAGACAGCUGUAUCUACUUGUUAAUUUCAAAAAGAAAUUCCUUUUCAAUAGCAAAAUACGGGAAAAUUAAAAAUACUAUUUCAUCACUUGUUCUUGAUACUCUUUGAAGUCUUUUGAUCACAAAAACUUCUGUCCAACUUUCGUAAAAUUUCAUGAAGAUUUGACAAGGACAAUGAUAUUUAAAAAAAUCUUGAACCAAAUACUAAACCUAAAUGGUGACAACGUCAAUGAAUUCUAUGAUCGCUAUGUCUCGCUUUCGCGACAUAAAUGGUUUAGGCUCCAUAAAAAUGCAAACCACAUAUCGAAUCUCAGCAGAUAAUGAAAUGCAUUAAACCAAAGGAAAGUUAGUAGAAUUCACAGUAGAUUCAGACUUUGACAGAAAAUGAACAAAUAUAUAACACAGUACCAUUUGAUUGAAAAGUGAAUGUCAUCACUUUUAUUUGCAAUUAAAAGCUAUUGUCUGAAGAAAGAUUUACAAAGCUGAUGUGCUUUUAACCAUUUCAUUUUAAUUCAUUUAGAUUAAAAUAAAUUUUUUUCACCAAAAUUCAAGUGUACGCCGGGCGUUUUGACGUAAACAUAGCUAUGCGCCUGGAAACAAGAAUAUUUUUGCAGUACCUUUUUCAUUUUGAAUACUAGAACUUUUAGAUAAUUAGAAAUUUUAAUGACAUUUUCAUAACCACUAGAAAUCUCAUCAGUUGAAUUUUGCAGCAAAUAUGAGUCUUUGAAGCUUGCUCACAAAGGGUCUUUUGUUGAUAUCAAUUGCAUACUGGUAAAAAAAAAAAAAUUUUGACCAUGCUUUGGAGAAGACAUUUUCGAAGAACUUAUAAAAAAUAACACAGAAGUUUACUUUCUAGCUCAUCUACAUCCAAGCAUCAUGUAAGGAAUUGUCAUUACUUAAAACCAUUAAUUUUUUUCUAAUCUGAGAAACAAUUUUGACAUUUAAAUGAAAUAUUUUACUAAUGAUACUGGGAAUUCGAAGAUCAACCACAAAGUAACAUAAAUAGUACAUGCAUGCAUGCUCUCAAGAUACCAUCUCCCAUACAAAAAAUCACAUCAUAAUGCCGAAAGAAACAUAAUGUGUUUGCAAUUAGGUUCUCCUCCAUGACAGUCUUGACCAUUUAAACUAAAUGAUAAAUUAAAAAUACUGCUAAUGUGUAGUGUUUGGCUCAGGUUGGCUGUCAUUGUGCAACACAUUAAAUAUAAAACUCUGUGGAAAAAACCCCUGAGAGGUCUCUUUGUCAGAAAAAAAUGUCAAACAUUCAAACACUAUCCACAUUGAUCUGUGUCCACACUUGUAACAUGAUUAAUAUAUAAACUGGCUUGUCCAAUUUAUAAGCAGUAGUACUAAUAAGCUAUGGAAUUUAUCAUAAUAACCAUUAAAGCUUAGCUUUUGGUAUUACAUAGCACUUGUAUGCAAUAUUUUUGCACUUUCCAUCAUAGAAAUUUUAAUAAUUAUAUUUGAUUUUUUUUAGAUUCAGAAUUGCCCCAUAUCACAAGAAACUUCCAAAACUUCCAGUGAAUAAACUUCUAUGCAGACUAGCAGAGAUAUUGAACCUGACUUUUCCAGUAUUGUAUAUGAUGUAGUACCACAUCCCAGGGUUCCUGAGUUUUGUGUACACAGGACAUUUGUACCUCAUACAUGUAUGUUGAGAGAAGUUCAGAACAAGCAAUUUGGUUGAAGAGGAGUUGUCAACACGUCAUCUUUGAAUAAAGUCAAUUGUAUUAGAAGUGAAGCCUUAACAGAAAUGAGACAAUAAUCAAGUAAUUCAAAGACUACAUGGAUGUUAUCUGGACUAGCAUUUGUAUGACCUAAAUGUGGUAUUUUUCAUAUGAACACUUACAAGGCAGAUAAUAGUCUGUGACAAACAUUUGUAUGCAAUUAAAGACUUGAAGAACUUGUA